rnacentral:lncRNA from 1 species
CGAAGAUAGGCUUUGGAGGAGUUCUAGUGCAAAGAUAGGCUUCAUCUGAUUGGUCGGCAAGAAAAUAAUAUUUAAAGAAGGGAAGGUUAGCAAGGAAUGGCUAGCAUGUGUGGGCAAAGGUGAUUAGAAUAAAAAAAAGGGGAGUUACCGCGUGGGAAGGAAGUCCAGGCUAGUCACGCUAAUCACGCAUGCGGAUCGGACGGAUCGGAGGGAGCUUCAUUAGCGAGGAUUCUACAUAAGGGAAAUUAGAGUUCAUGUAUCUUAAUAUUUCCUUUUGUUUAGAUAUUUAUUGUUAGGCAAGUUUUGUACGGGUCAUUGUCG